AGUAAUCGCGGAUCAGCAUGCCGCGGUGAAUACGUUCCCGGGCCUUGUACACACCGCCCGUCACACCGUGAGAGUCGGGAACACCCGAAGUCCGUAGCCUGACCGCGAAGGGGGGCGCGGCGAAGGUGGGUUCGAUAAUUGGGGUGAAGUCGUAACAAGGUAUC
rnacentral:rRNA from 1 species